GACGAACGCUGGCGGCGUGCUUAACACAUGCAAGUCGAACGAUGAAGAAGAGCUUGCUCUUCGGAUUAGUGGCGAACGGGUGAGUAGCACGUGACUAACCUGCCCCUUUCUCUGAGAUAACGCUCCGAAAGGAGUGCUAAUACCGGAUACUCACAUCGAGGCACAUGCCUUGAUGUGGAAAGUUUUUCGGAAAGGGAUGGAGUCGCGGCCUAUCAGCUUGUUGGGGAGGUAACGGCUCACCAAGGCGACGACGGGUAGCCGGCCUGAGAGGGCGAGCGGCCACACUGGGACUGAGACACGGCCCGGACUCCUACGGGAGGGAGCAGUGGGGAAUAUUGCACAAUGGGCGAAAGCCUGAUGCAGCGACGCCGCGUGGGGGAUGAAGGUCUUCGGAUUGUAAACCUCUUUCAGUAGGGACGAAGCGAAAGUGACGGUACCUAAAGAAGAAGCACCGGCUAACUACGUGCCAGCCGCCGCCGUAA
rnacentral:rRNA from 1 species